GCCAGCCCGCUCAGAAACUCAAAGGAAGUUGACGGGGGCCCGCACAAGCGGUGGAGCAUGUGGUUAAUUCGAUGAUACGCGAGGAACCUUACCUGGGCUCAAAUGUAUGUUGACGUAUCUGAAAGGGAUACUUCUUCGGACAAUAUACAAGGUGCUGCAUGGUUGUCGUCAGCUCGUGCCGUGAGGUGUCGGGUUAAGUCCCAUAACGAGCGCAACCCCUAUCAUUAGUUGCCAUCAGGUCAAGCUGGGGACUCUAAUGAAACUGCCUACGCAAGUAGUGAGGAAGGUGGGGAUGACGUCAAGUCAUCAUGGCCCUUACGGCCUGGGCUACACACGUGCUACAAUGGUCGGUACAAAGGGUUGCCAAGCCGCGAGGUGGAGCUAAUCCCAUAAAACCGAUCGUAGUCCGGAUCGCAGUCUGCAACUCGACUGCGUGAAGUCGGAAUCGCUAGUAAUCGUGAAUCAGAAUGUCACGGUGAAUACGUUCCCGGGCCUU
rnacentral:rRNA from 1 species